CCUACGGGAGGCAGCAGUGGGGAAUAUUGGGCAAUGGACGCAAGUCUGACCCAGCGACGCCGCGUGAGGGAUGAAGGCCUUCGGGUUGUAAACCUCUUUCAGUGGGGAAGAAGCGAAAGUGACGGUACCCAAAGAAGAAGCACCGGCUAACUAUGUGCCAGCAGCCGCGGUAAUACAUAGGGUGCAAGCGUUGUCCGGAAUUAUUGGGCGUAAAGAGCUCGUAGGUCGUUUGACACGUCGGAUGUGAAAAUCUGAGGCUUAACCUCAGACCUGCAUUCGAUACGGUCAAACUAGAGUGUGGUAGGGGAGACUGGAAUUCCUGGUGUAGCGGUGGAAUGCGCAGAUAUCAGGAGGAACACCAAUGGCGAAGGCAGGUCUCUGGGCCAUUACUGACACUGAGGAGCGAAAGCGCGGGGAGCGAACAGGAUUAGAUACCCUGGUAGUCCGCGCCGUAAACGGUGGGCACUAGUUGUGGGAACCUUCCACGGUUUCCGCGACGCAGCUAACGCAUUAAGUGCCCCGCCUGGGGAGUACGAUCGCAAGAUUAAAACUCAAAUGAAUUGACGG
rnacentral:rRNA from 1 species